GUGAAGUGAAUCACAAACAAACUUAUACCCCUUUGUUUGAUCGUGAAAAAUUUCUCCCAUCCCCUUAUUUUCUUAUAAAAAAAACCAUGCUAUCUUUUGAUUUGCAUGGUUUUU
rnacentral:sRNA from 1 species